AGACGCCAUUUUUUAUUGAUUCACCUGCUCAGGUGAGCGGGGACACCUGAGCCCCGCAGGUGCUGCCAAGGGGGGGGGAGGGGCCAGGUGAGAGCGGCCAGGUGAGAGCGGCCAGGUGAGGAUUCCAGGUGGGGAUUCCAGGUGAGGAUUCCAGGUGGGGAUUCCAGGUGGGGAUUCCAGGUGAGGAUUCCAGGUGAGGAUUCCAGGUGAGGAUUCCAGGUGGG